rnacentral:rRNA from 1 species
AAUUUUGGACAAUGGGGGAAACCCUGAUCCAGCCAUCCCGCGUGUAUGAUGAAGGCCNNNGGGUCNUAAAGCGCUUUUCGGGGNGAANAGCACGGACAGUAUCCCCGGAAGAAGGACCGGCUAACUACGUGCCAGCAGCCGCGGUAAAACGUAGGAUCCGAGCGUUAUCCGAAUUCACUGGGCGUAAAGCGCAUGCAGGCGGCCGCACAAGUUGGAUGUGAAAUCUCCCGGCUCAACUGGGAGGGGACGUUCAAAACUGUGCGGCUCGAGGGCGGUAGAGGAAGGUAGAAUUCCCGGUGUAGUGGUGAAAUGCGUAGAUAUCGGGAGGAAUACCCGUGGCGAAGGCGACCUUCUGGACCGUUUCUGACGCUCAGAUGCGAAAGCUAGGGGAGCGAACGGG